GCCCGGUUAGCUCAAUUGGUCAGAGCGUCGGACUUUUAUGAUUAAUCGUAAUCCGAAGGCUGCGAGUUCGACCCUCGCAUCGGGCG
rfam:Aspergillus kawachii IFO 4308 DNA, contig: scaffold00004.